rnacentral:lncRNA from 1 species
CAGGUGAGUUUUGGGGUCCCCCAGGUGAGUUUGGGAUUUCCCAGGUGCCCCCUCAGGUGAGUUUGGGACCUCUCAGGUGAAUUUUGGGGCCCCCCUAAACCCCCAAACCCCAAAACCACUCCCGGGGUCUCUCAGGGAUGAGUUUAAUGCAGCAGCAGCAGCGGCAGCGGCAGCCAGGUGAGUUCAGGUGUGCCAGGGGUGCCCAGGUGUGCCAGGGGUGCCCAGGUGAGUCAGUGCAGCAGUUCCAGGCAGUGACAGACCCCAAAGAAUCCCCAAAAGUUCUUCAGAGACCCCAAAAAAACCCCAAAAAAACCCCAAAAAUCCACCCCAGAGCAAAGCAGCAGCUGCCAGGUGUGCCCAGGUGAGUCCAGCAAUGCCCAGGUGUGCCCAGGUGAGUUCAGCAGUGCCCAGCUGUGCCCAGGUGUGCCCAGGUGUGCCCAGGUGAGUUCAGCAGUGCCCAGCUGUGCCCAGGUGAGUCAGUGCAGCAGCUCCAGGCAGCGACAGACCCCAAAGAACCCCAAAAGCUGCCCCAGAAAUCCCAAAAAAGACCCCAAGAAUCAACCCCAGAGCCAAGCAGCAGCUCCCAGGUGUGCCCAGGUGAGUUCAGCAGUGCCCAGGUGUGCCCAGUGGUGCCCAGGUGAGUCAGUGCAGCAGCGACAGCCCCAAAAGAUGCCCAAGGAACCCCCAAAAAAUCCCCCAAAAAAACCCGAAAAUGUUCCCCCAAGCCAAGCAGCAGUGCCCAGGUGUGCCCAGGUGAGUUCAGCAGUGCCCAGGUGUGCCCAGGUGUGCCCAGCUGUGCCCAGGUGACCCCAAAUUGG